UAUUGUACAAUGGGGGAAACCCUGAUGCAGCGACGCCGCGUGAGUGAAGAAGUAUUUCGGUAUGUAAAGCUCUAUCAGCAGGGAAGAAAAUGACAGUACCUGACCAAAAAGCCCCGGCUAACAACGUGCCAGCAGCCGCGGUAAUACGUAGGGGGCAAGCGUUCUCCGGAUUUACUGGGUGUAAAGGGAGCGUAGACGGUUAUGCAAGUCUGGAGUGAAAGCCCGGGGCUCAACCCCGGGACUGCUUUGGAAACUGUAAAACUGGAGUGCAGGAGAGGCAGGCGGAAUUCCUAGUGUAGCGGUGAAAUGCGUAGAUAUUAGGAGGAACACCAGUGGCGAAGGCGGCCUGCUGGACUGUAACUGACGUUGAGGCUCGAAGGCGUGGGGAGCAAA
rnacentral:rRNA from 1 species